CCUUCGACUACCCUAGCGCCCUGCCCGCCCAGAACCUGCUCGCGGACCCCGUCAACUCCAGGGUGCCGAGCCCAGACAUCCAGGUGGAAAUGGGCAUCUUCAGCUCGGCUGCGUGCUUCGGCAACGGGGUGCUCUCCAUAUAACGCUAGGCGAAAGAAGCAGCCGGCGCCUUCCGCAGAAGUGCCGCCUGGACGUGGCAGCCUCGACCACGUCCCUCCCCACCCCACCACCCCAAUAAACCUGCUUUUAGCUCUCA